AAUAAACCCUGAGUUUUCAUGUCCAACGUUUGACCGUUCGUCUUAUUUAAAAAAGUUAUGAAAAAAAAUUUAAAAAGGCAAGUCACGCAUAAAGUAUUAAUUAUGUUUUAUCAUCUAACAACAAUAAAAAUACUAAUUAUAAAAAAUUCCAUAUAAGACGGACAGUCAAACGUUAAACACGAAAACCUAGGGUUUGUUUUUUU
rnacentral:pre_miRNA from 1 species